GUACGCUAUUCAGAGUUUGAUCCUGGCUCAGGAUGAACGCUAGCGACAGGCCUAACACAUGCAAGUCGAGGGGCAGCGCGGGAGAAGCUUGCUUUUCCUGGCGGCGACCGGCGCACGGGUGCGUAACAGGUGUGCAAUCUGUCCUAUACCAGAGCAUAGCCCAGCGAAAGUUGGAUUAAUUCUCUAUGUGAGCCGAGAGGGCAUCCUUUUGGUUUGAAACGCGAGGGUAUAGGGUGAGCACGCUUCUGAUUAGCUAGUUGGUGAGGUAACGGCUCACCAAGGCGACGAUCAGUAGGGGUUCUGAGAGGAAGGUCCCCCACAUUGGAACUGAGACACGGUCCAA
rnacentral:rRNA from 1 species